GUGGGAGAGGCUUAGUGGUUUGGCGUGAGAUUGCAACGUAUCUGUGAACAGAGCGGCGCCCUAGAAUAUCUUGAGGUCGUGGGUUCGAUUCCCACCUUCCACU
rfam:Pseudozyma hubeiensis SY62 DNA, scaffold: PHS4.